UACGUAGGUGGCAAGCGUUGUCCGGAUUUACUGGGCGUAAAGAGCGCGCAGGCGGUCGUACAAGUCGCGUGUGAAAGCCCCCCGGCUCAACUGGGGAGGGUCACGCGAUACUGUUCGACUCGAAGGCAGGAGAGGGAAGUGGAAUUCCCGGUGUAGUGGUGAAAUGCGUAGAUAUCGGGAGGAACACCAGUGGCGAAGGCGACUUCCUGGCCUGUUCUUGACGCUGAGGUGCGAAAGCGUGGGGAGCAAACAGG
rnacentral:rRNA from 1 species